ensembl:snRNA U1 U1 spliceosomal RNA
UUCUCCACCUGGCAGGGGAGAUACCGUGAUCGAGAAGGUGGUUCACCCUGGGUGAGGCUCAGCCAUUGCACUCCGGCUGUGCUGACCCCUGCGAAUUCCCCAAAAGUGGGAAUCUCAAAUGCAUCAUUUCUGGUAGUGGGGGACUGUGCUCACGCCCUCCCCUG